rnacentral:rRNA from 1 species
UACGUAGGGUGCGAGCGUUAAUCGGAAUUACUGGGCGUAAAGCGUGCGCAGGCGGUUCGUUAUGUCCGAUGUGAAAGCCCCGAGCUUAACUUGGGAAUGGCAUUGGAAACUGGCGGGCUGGAGUGCGGCAGAGGGGGGUAGAAUUCCACGUGUAGCAGUGAAAUGCGUAGAGAUGUGGAGGAAUACCGAUGGCGAAGGCAGCCCCCUGGGCCAAUACUGACGCUCAUGCACGAAAGCGUGGGGAGCAAACAGG